UUUAAUUUUGUUAAUUGUUGGUGAUUGUCUUUCUUUUUGCUUAGUAGUAACGCUUUGCAUGCUUAUUUUGUGUUAAACCGACUAGCUUUGUUAAAUUAGUUAGCAUACAUUGUUUUCUUGCAUUGAAAAAAAAAAAUUGAUUUCUCAACUUAUUUGUGUUCUAAGUGUUUCACUAAGAGAAAGUCUUGUGUGAAGAUAUUGGAGGAUAGUUUUUGGCAAGGAAAAGGCUUG
rnacentral:lncRNA from 1 species